UACGUACUCUCUCUAUCAAAAUUCUUGUCUUGGAUUUGUCUAGAUAUGGAUGUAUUUAAUACUAAAACAUGACUUGAUACAUCUUUAUUUAUCCUUAUUUAGACAAAUCUAAGACAAGAAUUUUGGGAAAGAGGGAGUAUAUC
rfam:Triticum aestivum genome assembly, contig: Triticum_aestivum_CS42_TGACv1_scaffold_158718_2DL